rnacentral:rRNA from 1 species
CCCGCUGAACUUAAGCAUAUCAAUAAGCGGAGGAAAAGAAACUAACAAGGAUUCCCCUAGUAACUGCGAGUGAAGCGGGAUAAGCUCAAAUUUAAAAUCUGGCGGCUCUUGUAGCCCCCCGAGGUGUACUUUAGAGGAGCGUUCUCCGCCAUGGGAGGUGUACUAGUCUCCUGGCAUGGAGCGGUCAUAGAGGGAGAGACUCCCGCCUGUGGCAUGCCCUCCCUGGUCUUCUGUGAUCCCCUCUCGACGAGACGAGUUGGUUGUUACUGCUCCUCAUAAUGGGUGGAGACCUCCAUCUAAAGCUAAUUAUUGACAAAACACCAAUAGCCAACAACCACCAGGAGGAAAAGAUGAAAAGCACUUUGAAAAGAGAGUGAAACACUACGAGAUAUUGUUGAAAGGAAAGAGCUAGACAUCAGUCGAGUCGGUCGAUACUCCUCCUCGCCUCGUGCUUGGUGUUCUUCUCGGCUCGACCGGCCACCAUCUAUUUCGCAUCCUCGAAUAAUGGCAAGGGAAAGGUCGCACCUUAGUAGGAGAGCCCUAUACCUCAGUCGCAUCCGAGGGUAGGGAUAGAGGAACACAUCACACGCCGCAGGGAGUACGGAGCCUUGGCACCACGUUUACGUGCUUAGGAUGCUGGCAUAAUGGCUUUAAACGACCCGUCUUGAAACACGG